GAGCUCGGUUCAGCUGCACAUAUGCUAAAAUUGGAACGAUAUGGAGAAGAUUAGCGCGGCCCCUGCGCGAGGAUGACACAAAUUCGUGAAGCGUUCCAGAUUUUA